rnacentral:tRNA from 1 species
CCCUGGUGGCUUAGAGGGUAAAACAUCUGCUUGCAAUGCAGGAGACCCAGGUUCAAUCCCUGGAUCCGGGA